CUGCCAGUAGUCAUAUGCUUGUCUCAAAGAUUAAGCCAUGCAAGUCUAAGUAUAAGCAAUUUAUACAGCGAAACUGCGAAUGGCUCAUUAAAUCAGUUAUGAUCUACAUGACAAAUUUUUUACUACUGGAUAACCGUGGUAAUUCUAGAGCUAAUACAUGCAGAAAAGCCCUGACUUCGGAAGGGGUGCACUUAUUAGGUAAAAACCAUCCCACCUUUACCGGUGGUUUUAUGGUGACUCAUAAUAAUUAAGCGGGUAACGGGGAAUUAGGGUUCGAUUCCGGAGAGGGAGCCUGAGAAACGGCUACCACAUCCAAGGAAGGCAGCAGGCGCGCAAAUUACCCAAUACCGAUACGGUGAGGUAGUGACAAUAAAUAACAAUGCAGGGUCUUUAUGGUCUUUGCAAUUGGAAUGAGUACAAUUUAAAUCCCUUAACGAGGAUCAAUUGGAGGGCAAGUCUGGUGCCAGCAGCCGCGGUAAUUCCAGCUCCAAAAGCGUAUAUUAAAGUUGUUGCAGUUAAAACGUCCGUAGUCGAACUUACGCCUUGUGGUUAUGCAGCUGGUCAUUCAUUUGGCUAGAUUUGUUUUAACCCGGGUGAUAAAGUUUGGGUAUGAUCAUGUUGGCUUCGGUCGGUGUGGUUCUCUGCCCAAGCGUAUUACCAUGAGCAAAUCAGAAUGCUCAAAGUAGGCCUUCGUGCCUGAAUGUGUUAGCAUGGAAUAAUGAAAUAGGACCCUAGUCUUGUUUUGUUGGUAUACUUGACCUUGGGAAAUGAUGAAUAGGAACGGUUGGGGGCAUUUGUAUUUGGUCGCUAGAGGUGAAAUUCUUGGAUUGACCGAAGACAAACAACUGCGAAAGCAUUUGACCUAGGACGUUUCCAUUGAUCAGGGACUAAAGUUGAGGGAUCGAAGACGAUUAGAUACCGUCGUAGUCUUAACCACAAACUAUGCCGACUAGCGAUUGGAUCCUCGCCACUGGCAGGAUUCAGCAGCUUAGCGAAAGUAAAGUUUUUGGGUUCUGGGGGGAGUAUGGGACGCAAGGCUGAAACUUAAAGGAAUUGACGGAAGGGCACCACCAGGAGUGGAGCCUG
rnacentral:rRNA from 1 species